rnacentral:lncRNA from 1 species
AUGACUUUUACACAUAACUUAUAUGAUGAUAUGUAUUGAUUUCAGGUACUUGAUUGAGGAGUCUUGACCUUUUUGGCUGAAGACUAGCAUUCAUAUUCAAGACAUUUAUCUUGAUUUGAGGCCUAUUGAAAUUUAUAUUUGCUUAACUUUUGAAAUGGGCGACUUAUUCUUCCAUGAUGGUUUCAUGACAUUACAGCCCUAAACUAUCUUUUUUUUUUGAACGGCAACAAUGAUAUAUUAUAUCAAACAACCUUUCCACUCUGCACAUCUUGGAUUUGAAUACCUGAUCGUUCCUAUUUUGCCAAAGACACCACAGAGCCGCAUACAUUACAACUAUUAGCACCUGAUCAUUCCUAUUACGCCUAAACUAUCUAUGCUUAUGAUUUAUCGACCAUGGAUGUCCUUAGUUUAGGGCGUUACAAAACAUUGGGGAACAAUUUUAAUACACGAUGUAAUUAAGGAAUUUGAGGUCCUUUAGUGUAAAAAGGAUAAUUGAGUGUUUGUAAGGUAAUAAAUUUUCCCAUUUACGAA